AACGAACGCUGGCGGCAUGCCUAACACAUGCAAGUCGAACGAGACCUUCGGGUCUAGUGGCGCACGGGUGCGUAACGCGUGGGAACCUGCCCUUAGGUCCGGAAUAACUCCCCGAAAGGGGUGCUAAUACCGGAUAAUGUCUUCGGACCAAAGAUUUAUCGCCUUUGGAUGGGCCCGCGUUGGAUUAGCUAGUUGGUGGGGUAAAGGCCUACCAAGGCGACGAUCCAUAGCUGGUCUGAGAGGAUGAUCAGCCACACUGGGACUGAGACACGGCCCAGACUCCUACGGGAGGCAGCAGUGGGGAAUAUUGCACAAUGGGCGAAAGCCUGAUGCAGCGACGCCGCGUGAGCGAAGAAGUAUUUCGGUAUGUAAAGCUCUAUCAGCAGGGAAGAAGAAAUGACGGUACCUGACUAAGAAGCACCGGCUAAAUACGUG
rnacentral:rRNA from 1 species